AGUUUUUUUCUUUUAGUCUAGGUAAACCCAUCCAUCAGAUCCAGGAGAGUUCAUGUUUCGUUUUGGAAAGACAAAGAUAAAGUUUUAGACUUUUUAGGUUUUGUUUGUGUGGUUCACCUCGUUGAUUGAAACCCUCUCUGUUUCACCUGAUCCUCUGUUUUUGUUUUUUGGAUAAAGUUUUGAGCUUUGUGUCCCUCUCUUGUAAAAGGUUGAAACUUUGGGGGUUUCUAAUUAGGGAUUGUGUUAGAAGAGAUUGAGUGUCUGGUCCUUCUGAUUAGGUGAGAUCAUCAACCACGAGAUACAGAGGAUCUGUUGCUUUAGAUCCAUCAGAUCUGUGACCCAGAGGUACUCACUUCUUCUUGAUUUUGCUACUCUUUGGCUAAAGUUAGUGUCAAGAACGGCGUUUUGGUUGCUGUGGAUAGCUGAAUUGGAUGUUGUAGUAUCAUGAAGAAGAAGAGGAUGAAGAUUAGCCGUUAACGUGUGGGAAGCAAAGCAUAGGAACUAAUGGAAGAGAUUUCACCAGCAGUUGCACUAACUUUGAGUUUAGCCAACACUAUGUGUGACUCUGGAAUCUCGUCUUCUUUGGAUAUCACCGAGCUAGAGAACGUUACUGAUGCAGUUGACAUGCUAUCCGAUCAGAAAGUUCAAAGCUUUAGUAACGGAGAGGUUGAGUAUAUGAUGGAAGAAGACGUAUUAGUAGUAUCUGACGCGACUAUAAUAAGCGAGGGUCUAAUAGUUGUGGACGCUAGGUCUGAGAUUAGUUUACCAGAUAACGGGCGUGUUCUCGCCACGGCUAUCAUCCUAAACGAGACAACCAUAGAUCAGGUUCCCACUGCAGAAGUCCUUAUCACGAGCCUGAAUCACGACGUGAACAUGGAGGAGGUGGUGGCAGCUUCUUCAUCAGAGGUAGUAGUCAUUAGGUUCCCCGAAGAGAAUCACAACGUUGCAAGAGGAGGAGGAAGCAGGAGCGUCUACGAGCUGGAUUGUAUACCUCUCUGGGGAACAGUUUCGAUCUGCGGUGAUAGAUCAGAGAUGGAGGAUGCCGUGAGAGCGCUACCUCGUUUUCUGAAAAUACCUAUUAAAAUGCUUAUGGGAGGAGAUCAUGAAGGGAUGAGUCCGAGUCUCACGCACCUCACUAGUCACUUCUUCGGUGUAUAUGAUGGCCACGGAGGCCUCCAGGUUGCUGACUAUUGUCACGACAGGAUCCAUUUUGCUUUGGCUGAAGAGAUCGAAUGGAUUAAAGAAGAGUUGUUGUGCGAGAGGAACAACACUGGGGAAGGUAGGCAGGUGCUGUGGGAGAAAGUGUUUUUCGAUUGUUUCCUAAAGGUGGAUGAUGAAGUCAAAGGGAAAAUCAACAGACCUGUUGUUGGCUCUCCUGAUGAGAUGGUUCUCGAGGCUGUUUCUCCUGAAACCGUGGGAUCAACCGCCGUGGUUGCUUUGGUUUGCUCGUCGCAUAUAAUAGUCUCGAACUGUGGUGAUUCGAGAGCGGUUUUGCUACGUGGCAAAGAGUCUAUGCCUUUGUCAGUUGAUCACAAACCAGAUAGAGAGGACGAGUAUGCAAGGAUAGAGAGAGCUGGAGGGAAAGUUAUACAAUGGCAAGGCGCUCGUGUCUCUGGCGUUCUAGCCAUGUCCAGGUCCAUUGGUGAUCAAUAUCUGGAGCCAUAUGUGAUACCGGAUCCUGAAGUGACGUUUAUGCCACGAGCAAGAGAAGACGAGUGUUUGAUACUGGCCAGCGAUGGGCUUUGGGACGUGAUGAGUAAUCAAGAGGCUUGUGAGUUUGCGAGGAGACGGAUCUUAUUGUGGCACAAGAGGAAUGGAGCGUUGCCUUUAGCUGAGAGAGGUGUAGGGGAAGACCAGGCUUGCCAAGCCGCUGCUGAUUAUCUCUCGAAGCUCGCUCUUCAAAAGGGAAGCAGAGACAAUAUCUCGAUCAUUGUGGUGGAUCUGAAAGCUCAAAGGAAGUUAAAGACCAGGUCUUGAAACAAUAUGGAUAUUGGAUGUGGUGGUGAUGGUGGUCACAUGUUAUGAAAGUUCUGUGGCUGUGUGGCAAUUAUAUACUUUGCAAAACUAUCAGUGAAGAAGAUAUUGACCCGAGAGAGGAUGCUUUCAUGCUUUCCCCAUUCAUCAAUCCACUGGAGGAGUUCAGAGCAAGUUCUGAGUCACGAAAUCAUCACAUAGAUGCAGAAUAAAAGCUUGUGACGGUUAGAAAAAUCAAAAGUGGGCGUGCCGGAGUGGUUAUCGGGCAUGACUAGAAAUCAUGUGGGCUUUGCCCGCGCAGGAAUCAUUGGAGAAUGUAGUAAACUAAAAUUCACAGCUGCACACACGUGAAGAUAUUCACAGCUACCGAGGAAUCAUUGGAGACUGUAGGAAUCUUUGGUUAAACAAACUCUCAUCUACCGAGGAGUAACAAAACUCAUUCUUAAUUAAUGGGAGACUAUUUUUUUUUAUAAGUAUUAAUGGGAGACUGUAGUAAACUAAAAUUCACAGCUGCACACACGUGAAGAUAUUCCCUCAAUAAUUCUAACAUUUUUUAUUUU